rnacentral:rRNA from 1 species
GAUGAACGCUAGCUACAGGCUUAACACAUGCAAGUCGAGGGGCAGCAUGAAAGUUUGCUUGCAAACUUUUGAUGGCGACCGGCGCACGGGUGAGUAACACGUAUCCAACCUGCCUCAUACUCGGGGAUAGCCUUUCGAAAGAAAGAUUAAUACCCGAUGUUAUAGUCCUACCGCAUGAUGGGAUUAUUAAAGAAUUUCGGUAUGGGAUGGGGAUGCGUUCCAUUAGAUAGUAGGCGGGGUAACGGCCCACCUAGUCAACGAUGGAUAGGGGUUCUGAGAGGAAGGUCCCCCACAUUGGAACUGAGACACGGUCCAA